rnacentral:rRNA from 1 species
AACGAACGCUGGCGGCAGGCUUAACACAUGCAAGUCGAACGCACCGCAAGGUGAGUGGCAGACGGGUGAGUAACACGUGGGGAUCUGCCCAAUGGUACGGAAUAGCUCCGGGAAACUGGAAUUAAUACCGUAUGAGCCCGCAAGGGGAAAGACUUAUCGACAUUGGAUGAACCCGCGUCGGAUUAGCUAGUUGGUGUGGGAAAGGCGCACCAAGGCGACGAUCCGUAGCUGGUCUGAGAGGAUGAUCAGCCACACUGGGACUGAGACACGGCCGAGACUCCUACGGGAGGCAGGAGUGGGGAAUAUUGGACAAUGGGCGCAAGCCUGAUCCAGCCAUGCCGCGUGAGUGAUGAAGGCCUUAGGGUUGUAAAGCUCUUUCGCCGACGAAGAUAAUGACGGUAGUCGGAGAAGGAGCCCCGGCUAACUUCGUGCCAGCAGCCGCGGUAAAAC